rnacentral:RNase_P_RNA from 2 species
UGAGUCGGCUAGGCGAUCGCGGCCUCCCGAACCGCCCGCCUCGCGCGGGCAGGCGGGGGUCGAGGAAAGUCCGGACUCCACCGAGGAUCGAACGGUGGUUGCUAACGGCAACCCGGGGUGACCCGAGGGAAAGUGCAACAGAAAGUAGACCGCCCGCGGGCCCAGCCCGACGGGUGAGGGUGAAAGGGUGCGGUAAGAGCGCACCGGCGGGGCAGGUGACUGUCCCGGCCAGGUAAACCCCACCGGGAGCAAGGCAUCCCGGCCCGCCUCCAGCGCGGACCGGAUCGGACGCUACGAGGGGAGAUCCGCCCCAUGUCCGAAGGUAGCUGCUCGAGGCACCCAGCAAUGGAGUGCCCAGAUGGAUGAUCGCCCCCGCGCGCCGCGAGGUGCGCGGCGACAGAAUCCGGCUUAUCGGCCGGCUCAUUCG